GCUAAGCUGAGAAAACGUCAUAAAACACAAGCCCCCAUCCCCAUCUAUGAGGAAAUGAACAGUGGGUGUCGAGGAGCUGGAAGUGCCCAAAAUAACCAUCCCGUGCCUACACACCUGGAGGAAACAGAGUCCCCUGUGUACGGCAACCCCCAGGCCAGACAAGCACAGGAGAACCACUACGCCAGCCCCCGACAGAUCACUCUGAAGCCCUGAGCGAACCACAGAGGGUGGUGUCAUGCCCCCCUAAUGUUUUUUAAAGGGGGAGUGGAUGGCAGAAAUAACAGUACCAGAGUUCCAGAUGUAGAUAUACAUGUUUUAACCCACUGUGACAGGUGGUGGGAAAGAGUUGGACUGUCAUCAUUGCUUUUUCAAGUGUGUGCAAGAUCGUAAACUAUUGGUCCCACCUCACCUCUCUUUUCUACAGGAGUCGCCCAACAAACCCACCUACAGGAUGAGAAUGGAAAAGACUGAGAGCUAGUACAUAGGUCACUGUGCCUGUAUAGGUGUACUAGUGGUGAUUCCCUCAGAACAGGAUCUAAUAGGGAAAACUCCAAUCUGCAAACUAAUUGACGAACACCAACAUCAAGAACUGACCACAACACCCUUUAACAGACCAGAAAAAAACUGCAAUUUUAUUAAUAGAUGAAAGAAGCUCCAUAGUUCAUGAAAACAUUGUUUUCGGUGCAUGUCGUUUAACAAUCACAUUCUAUGAGGAGAAAGAGAUACAUUGAGAAAAUAAAUCAUUACAAGCCAACUGACUCUUCUUUAAAUCUCAGUACAGACAUUUUUCCUUAAUAUUUCAAAAACAAAAAAGGCAAAAAGCAGCCCUACCCCCAAAUCCCCGUCCCACCCAUCAUCCCAACAAAAACACAAUAACUGAAUGAAACGACAGAACAUACAGAUGGGGUGACGGGCACAGUGCUAAAGAGUAAGAGGUUUAGGAAUACACAGUAUAGCCAUGUAGCGCGAUGUCAAUCUGAAUACACAGUAUAGCCAUGUAGCGUGAUGUCAAUCUGAAUACACAGUAUAGCCAUGUAGCGUGAUGUCAAUCUGAAUUAAAGAAGCCUUGGGGUCUUGGGGUGGGGGGGUAUGCCUACCCAACCAAAUAAAAACAGUGGAUCCCAAAACCCCUGCAUAAAAUGCACCUUGUACCCAUCAAAGCCCCCCCCAAACUUGUGCAUAGAUCAUGAUCCUUUACAACCAGCUAGUUUUAAAAACAUCCUCCAAAUAAAUCGACGUCAGUUAUUUUCCCUGUUCUUUAAUACCCGACAUAAGAGAGAAUGACAGAGGAAAGAGAGUAAUGCACAAUGGUCCUUAUUCAGUCAGGACAGGACUUCUAAGAAAAUACAAUAAAGAUUCAAAACAUACAGAAUUUGCAUGUUCUUUCACGGUCAUUUUUUUGUAACAAUCAAAAUCAAAUGAUAAUUUUGUUUUUAAAUGUAAAGCAAUUUUAAUAAAAAUGUAUAUAAAGCACUCCAUUUUUUGUAAGUUCAUUUAAAGCCCAUUAUUUGGUUAAUAUGUACAGUGCCUUCAUAAAGUAUUCACACCCUUGACGUUUUCCACAUUUUGUUGUUACUUAGUGGGAUUUUUUUGGCAAUGAUAUACACAAUUCUCUCAUUUCAAAGUGUAAGAAAAAAUCUAAUAUUUGUGCAAAAUUCAUGAAAAAUAAAACACAAAUAUAUCUUGAUUAGAUAAGUAUUCAACCCCCUGAGUCAAUACAUGCUAGAAUCACAUUUGAGUCUGAGUAAGUCUCUUUCCACACCUGGAUUGUGCAACAUUUGUCCAUUAUUCUUUUUAGAAUCCUUCAAGCUCUGUCAAAUAGUUUGUUGAUCAAUGUUAGACAACCAUUUUUAGGUCUUGCCAUUCAAGCAGAUUUAAGUCAAAACUAACUCGGCCACUCUGGAACAUUCACGGUAUGCAACCCCAGCGUAGAUUUGGCCUCGUGUUUUAGGUUAUUGUCCUGCUGAAAGGUGAAUUCCUCUCCCAGUGUCUAGUCUAGUGGAAAGCAGACUGAACAAGGUUUUCCUAUAGGAUUUUAACAAUUACAAGCAUACCCAUAAUAAGAUGCAGCCAUCACUGCUUGAAAAUAUGGAGGGUGGUACUCUCAAACAUAACACUUUGUAUUCAGGACAAAAAGUUUAUUGCUUUGCCACAUUUUUUGAAGUAUUACUUUAGUGCCUUGUGGCAAACAGGAUACAUGUUUCAGAAUAUUUUUAUUCUAUACAGGCUUCCUUCUUUUCAUCCUGUCAAUGAGGUUAGUAUUGUGAAGUAACUACAAUGUUAGUGAUCCAUCCUCAGUUUUCUCCUGUCAUAGCCACUAUACGCUGUAACUGUCUCCAUUGUCCUCAUGGUGAAAUCCCUGAGCAGUUUCCUUCCUCUCCGGCAACGCAGUUAGGAAGGAUGCCUGUAUCUCUGUAGUGACUGGGUGCAUUGAGACACCAUCCAAAGUGUAAUUAAUAACCACCAUGCUCAAAGGGAUAUUCUAUGCCUGUUUUUUUGUGUUUUUUUACCCAUCUACCAAUAGGUGGCCUUCUUUGCGAGGAAUUGGAAAACCUCCCUGGUCUUUAUGGUUGAAUAUGUUUGAAAUUCACUGCUGACUAAAGAUAAUUGUAUGUAUGGGGUACAAAGAUGAGGUCGUCAUUCAAAAAUCAUGUUAAACACUAUUACUGCACACAAGAGUCCAUGCAACUUGUGUGACUUAAGCACAUUUUUACUCCUGAAUGUAUUUAGGCUUUCCAUAACAAAGGGGUUGAAUACUUAUUGAAUUUAGACAUUUAGAAAAUCAUAAUUCCACUUUGACGUUAUGGGGUAUUGUGUGUAGGCCAGUGACCAAAAAAAUCUACAUUUAAUACAUUUUAAAUUCAGGCUAUAACAACAUUUGGUAAAAGUCAAGGUGUGUGAAUACUUUGAGGGCACUGUAAACUGCUACGGAUUUUUAAAAAAAUGAUAUUUUCUCUCUUUCUGAAAUUCAUAAGUUUUUCAGUGCUUCAUUUUUUUUAAUCAUUUUUUUUUCUUCGUACAUUAAAAUGGAGUGGAGUUGGAACUCUGGAACCCUGGCCUUCCUGAGACAAGAUCCACUUUAUGUGUGCAAGAUAGUGAGCAAUUAUGUUUUUUUGUUUUGUUUUUUUACAAAGGAAAAAUGUAAUAAAAAUGCACAGGCUUUAGAUAGUCCAUGAAAUCAACAUAGAACAAAGAUGUCAAAGGUCAAAUAUAACAUGACAACACUGUUGGAUCCCAGAGUUCUGAAAGUAGCACAAUAUUAAAAUCUUCAUUCUGUAAAGUGUUUUUUGUUAUUCUUUUUAAAAAUGGAAGUAUUUGUCCUUUUCUUUUGUUUUUCCAACAUUUUCAUACAGUUAAUUCAUUUUCCUCGAACUUCAGACAAACAAAAAUGGUUGUAAACCGUCAGUGGCCUUGCAGAAAACAAGCAGACAUAACGCAUGAGAUUUUAACAAAAAUGAAACUGAACAAAAGCUAACAAACCAAAAAGGUAGGCACCUCUGAAGUGAGCCUUGUAAUCAACCCUCCUUCUGAUGUCUUGUCCUUCGGUUUCUCCCUGAAUAGACAGGGAGAGCUACAAGUCUCUCUACCCAAACUCUAUGGCCACAGGUCUUCAAAAAUACUUUUUUUGUAACUUUUUUCAAUAUUUGUUUUUUUUUGUUGCUUUUGUAUACUUUUUAAGUUUAUAAUCUGAAACAAAUGGUGCAAUACUUAUACUUAAUAAUCCAUAUUUUUUCUUGGAUUAUUCCACAAUGAAAGCCACUACAAGGUAUAUAAACAUAUUACAGAUUAAAAACACUUAUUUUCUUAAGUCCUUGAGUAAACAUUUACACGUGAAGUCGCCGUCUGCCCCCAGUAUUUUAUCUGGCGUUGUUCGAUUAGCUUGAGGGGAGGGCUGACACUCAGUGCAACGCUAGAGUCUAAUAACAAUAAACAUCACAAUAUACUUUGAUAAGCCAAAAAUAAAACAUAAAACUAAUAUACGGAAUAGAAAUCAAAUGAAAAAGCGGAGAUAAUUCCCGCUGUAAAUCACAGGCUCACAAUCGUUUGAAACCUCAUACACACGGUCUGUCAAACAGACACAUCCAUCCACCCACGAACCAUACAGUACAGGCAACCUUGUGCAAACACUCAGAUACAACAGAUGUCAUUUAGCCUUUUUUUAUACCAAUCUUUGUUUUUAACAAUCCUCAUUUUUCUAAUUUAAUUCACUCAGAACAGAUAUUCUCAAAUAUCCAGGAAGUGUAUGAAUGAGACAAAAUUAUUACAAAGUGUUCACAUUACAAUAUUGGCGCUUCUUUUUGAUUCAAGUAUUUGUAUUCUUUAUUUUUGUAUUACUCUGAUAUGUUAAUAUUAUAUUUAUCUUCUGGGAAAUAUACAGAGAAGGAGAAUACAUAGGGGUAAGGUUGGACCUGGGGCAGAGAGCGGGUUUAGGGUAAAGUGGAAAGAGAAACCUAGCUGUAUACAUAUGCACACUUGGAUGUAUACAUGUAUAUAAACUAGCAUGUGCAUAUUCAACCCAGGCCCUUGACAAAGAUUUGUUUUCCUCUUGAAAUGGGGUCCCUACCCCAGAACCUACUCUGGUCCAUGAUUGAGAAGCAUACUUUGCUUAAACUCCAGUUGCCUUUGAGUGAUUUAAAAAGGGAGAUUCUCUUGACUUCCUACACCAGUCAUCCAUGGUGUAUAUUGAUGGGUCAAUAAGGUGGGGUAGGGGUGGGUAGAGUGACAGGUGGGCUCUCAGUGCUCGUGCUGCACAGAGAAUCCUGGGACGCCUCUGAGACUUGACCCCCCCAAUCCCUUUUUUGUGACCCUAUUCCAGUCUGUAGCCUCGGGAGCCCAGCGUGGAGCAAAACAAUUCAGGUUUUUCAGAAACAGGCAAUUAGUGAUUGUUGCUAAUGUCACACGACAAUGACGAGUACGAAAAACAACUCUUGGAAGAGGGCCUUUCCCCUUUUAAGACUUGGUACCGAACAACAAAACUGUGAGGUGUGUCCUGGCCCUGCUGAUACGGUGGGCCCCACCUGGACCCUAACCCAAAAAUCCAGAUCUGGGGCAAUGUUCUGUGGGUGGUGCACUCGAGGCUGGAGGUCAGAAACUAACAGCAUCAACACAGUGUUCCAGAAGAAAGCCCCAGUCAGAGGGCCACAGUUGGGGGGAAAGGCUUGCAGAGACAGAACGAGGCCUCUCAGCCAAGGAGUGCACAGCAAAAAACAUACUGUAGGACUUUUUUAAAACACUUUUUUUUUGUACUUUAGCUUCUACUUUUUGUCACCCCUCACCCCAAAGAAAAGAUAACAUGUUUUUGGUUUUAUAAAAGGUGUACCCAAUGUGACCCAUCAACAGUACACACAGACUGCCUGUUUUCUUUUGAUAGCUGGGACAAGGGACUGCCUCAUAUGUCCUGACCCAAAUAUUACCCCCUCCUCCCACCCCACAUUCCUCCAUGACCCAUGUGCCUUUAAGUCUAGGAUUCAGGAGGAAAUGUCUCAAAACUACUGAAUCUUGGGAAUUGAAGGCUCAUUUGACAGCAGAGACAACUCAAUGGUAAAUGGCAGGGCUGAAGUAUAUAUUUUAGUCCAGUUGGCACAUGACACAUGAGGAAGGACUCCCAGAAACCCCAUCCCCACCACUCAUACUUCUCAUACCACUCAGCAGGUCAUUAUUAGUGUUACCUAAAAGCUCUUGGAAUCAUCACAAUGAAGAACUGUACUUUACAGAUGUACUUUACACAAUGCUAGAGCGCCAACAGGGGAAAGCAGAGUCCACUCAGUGGUCCUCCGGAGGCGUGUAUGUAUGAGGGAUAUCAGUGAGACUGAAUUACAAACACCCCACAGUGAUGGGACAGUGGGGAGGGUAGUUGGGAGUCUGCCCAGUGCUGGCUGGUAUGAAAAAAUGCCAGGGGGGUGGAAAGGAGAGGGUUAGACAAUUGGCAGAUGGUUGGUGGACUGAUGGUUGAUGGUUCUGAGCGCGAACCUCUGUCUUUGCAUAGAAAUCGAGUGCUGCGUCAGUUUAUAUGGUAUUCAGGUUGACGGAGAGGGAUAGUGGUUAGGAGUCUGUCUUUUCAUUCUGCCAGAAAGCUCCUAGACAGCCUAUGGAAAAUAAAGCACCAGUGUGAGUGAGGUGACUGGAGUGGAGGAUGUGUGUGUGUGGAGCGGACAACAUGGGGAUGGGAAGGGAGAGAGGGUGGGCUGGGCAGCAGAGGCUGAGAGAGAGGGUGGGCUGGGCAGCAGAGGCUGAGAGAGAGGGUGGGCUGGGCAGCAGAGGCUGAGAGAGAGGGUGGGCUGGGCAGCAGAGGCUGAGAGAGAGGGUGGGCUGGGCAGCAGAGGCUGAGAGAGAGGGGGAGCAGGGCAGGCCGGGUAGAUAGAUACCCUCAAUCUCACACCUGAUCUGACUAUACAUUAGAACCAUUAGGUCCGCUCCUGAACCAAAACACUGACUGUCCAACAACCACACCAAAUGAACCACCCCCACUGAGAUCUGCAGUGUCCGUAUCCAUAACAUUCCUGUGGUGGGCUGCGUUUGCUGAGGUGCGCGUGGAACCAGAAGUAUUUUAGCCUCUGCUUACGAGCAGUAAGAGCAGGGGACAGGAGAGCAGCUGAACACUGCAUGGAGCCGUUGAAAAAACAUCCGUAAAAAUCAUUGUAAUCAUCAUAAAACAAACAUCAACAACAGCAAGUUUGACAAAAACUAAAACAACAACUGGAGAUUUUUCCAGAUAUGAAAAUAAUAAACCAAAACAAUUAAACCAAAAAAAAAACUUAACACAAUUCAAAAACCUCUCCAUCUCUGGCUAAAGUGAUCCUUGCAUGAGAGACAGAGAGAGAGGGAUAGAGUGGAGGUGAUGAACAACAGAGAGAGGGAUAGAGUGGAGGUGAUGAACAACAGAGAGAGGGAUAGAGUGGAGGUGAUGAACAACAGAGAGGGAUAGAGUGGAGGUGAUGAACAAUAGAGAGGGAUAGAGUGGAGGUGAUGAACAACAGAAGAGAGGGGGAUAGAGAGAGGGAUAGAGUGGAGGUGAUGAACAACAGAGAGGGAUAGAG
ensembl:lncRNA